rnacentral:lncRNA from 1 species
UCCGACAGACGCGAUCGAAUGAACAACAUAUCCCCAAUCAAGAGAAGAGGAUCCAUGCAAGAAAAAGCCAUUUCAGAGCCAAGGCUUUGCCUCAAGCUUAGAAGAUCUAGUUGUAUCAUUUGAACCCGAUUCUUCUCUUCACUUAAAAUCCACAUUUUCAGUUGCCUCGCAACUAACUUCAUUAGGACAAUACAGACCCAUCAUUCCAUAACUGGACUUCACAGAAAAAGGAAUCUACAUUCUCAGGAGUCAAGAUUACACCCGAUAUCUCUCGCUCUAGAUCAAAAGUCCCCA